ACAUACGACCAUAGGGUGUGGAGAACAGGGCUUCCCGUCCGCUCAGCCGUACUUAAGCCACACGCCGGGAGGUUAGUAGUUGGGUGGGUGACCACCAGCGAAUCCCUUCUGUUGUAUGUU
rfam:Aspergillus brasiliensis CBS 101740 unplaced genomic scaffold ASPBRscaffold_9, whole genome shotgun sequence.